rnacentral:rRNA from 1 species
AUGGGCCUCGCCUUGUGGACUCGUUCAGACAAUGGGCCGUGUGGUCUGGCCCAAAAUACUGCGCCUCACAUGCCGCAAGAUCUCACGGAGCCAAACCACACCCGCACCAGAGUCGUCCCCACCACGCACGGGAAAACCUCGCAGGCAACCGGCCUCCUCCUCCACCGCCGCCGCCGCCGCCGCCGUCGAAGCAUCAGAAGCAGCAAGAGUAAGAUGUCGUUCCGGGCGCGGGAGAUUUACAAGAAGGUGGUGCGCCGCGUGGGCGGGGAGGGGAAGCUGCCGGCGGAGGUGAUGGACACAGUGAAGAACAUACUCCCGAAUAGCAAGGUCGUCAUGGGCCGGGCCAAGCGCGGCAUCUUCGCCGGCCGCCACAUCCAGUUCGGCAACAAGGUCUCCGAGGACGGCGGCAACAAGUCAAGGCGAAACUGGAAGCCAAACGUUCAGGAGAAACGUCUUUUCAGUUAUAUUCAUGACCGACACAUUAGAGUCAAAGUAACCACUCAUGCACUACGGUGCAUUGACAAAGCUGGUGGGAUCGAUGAAUACCUCCUGAAGACACCUUACAACAAAAUGGAUACUGAGAUGGGAAUAGCCUGGAAGGCAAAGAUUGAGAAGAUGUAUUCAGAGCUAGCUGGGAUGGAAGUUGGCUUCUUCCCUCCUGAGAAAGAGGCUAAGAUAGAGCAGGGUUUCGAGGAGAUUCGAUCGGCCAAGAGAGAGUUCCGCAGCGAAUCAAGAAGGGCUUUGGGUGUGGCAAAGCAGAGUCAGCUAGAAGCAACUAAAGCUGAUGAUGACGAAACAACUGAAGUCGUGGAUACAAAUGAAGAGGCGUCUGAUGUCGCAGAGAAGUCUUAG